UACGUAGGGUGCAAGCGUUAAUCGGAAUUACUGGGCGUAAAGCGUGCGCAGGCGGUGAUGUAAGACAGAUGUGAAAUCCCCGGGCUCAACCUGGGAACUGCAUUUGUGACUGCAUCGCUGGAGUGCGGCAGAGGGGGAUGGAAUUCCGCGUGUAGCAGUGAAAUGCGUUGAUAUCGAUAGGAACUCCGGUGGCGAAGGCGGCAUACUGGACCACCACUGACGCUGAUGCGCGAAAGCCAGGGGAGCAAACGGG
rnacentral:rRNA from 1 species